AUGCCAAGCACGAUCGAUCGAUGCGCCGAUCUCGCCGCGGCUCCAUCAAGUAACCCUAGAACAUCAAAUCUGAAGAAGAACACAACUUGCAGAGACCCGAAGAGCGACCAAACACCAAAGCGAACGACUCCCCGGGAACUACUUGGGCUUCCUCGCGCGUCGCGACCGCCGCCGGCGAUGGAGCCGCGGCCGCCGCCGUCGCCGUCGCCGCCUCAGGCGUCCCCCUCCUCCGCCGUGCGGGUCCUCUCCCGCGCGCCUCCCCCCGCCUCCGCCCCCUCCCCGGCCGCGGCCGCCGCCUCGCCGCCGCACGACGGCGGCGUGGUCGUCGUCGGCUUCGUGGGCGGCGCGGGGGGCGCCGCCGCGCGACUCGCGGACCGGAUCCUCGACGCCCCCGUGUUCUCCCCCGGCGGCUCGGCCAGGACCCUCGCCGGGGGCGUCAGGUACCACCGCGACGCGGACAGGAGGAUGGUCUUCCUCCACCUCGCCUCCCCGCCCCCGCCCCCGCCCCCGCCGCGGGAGCCGGGCGGCGGGAGCACCGGCGGCCUCCCGGAGAUGCUCUUCAUGUUCUCGGUAUGCCAUGUAAUAGUAUUUCUCCAAGAAGGCUUCCGGUUCGACACGCAGAUCUUGAAGAAUUUUAGGCUGCUGCAAUCUUCGAAGCAUGCUUUUGCACCAUUUGUGAGAUCACUAGUAGCACCGGGAACACCAUCCAAAGCUGCCCCUUCUGGCACACCGGGGACACCAUCCAAAGCCACCCCUUCUGGCACCCCGACUCGGCCUACCCGCAGGGCUUCAUCGAUCUCCCCUCCGGCACGCCGUGGAGGUCACUCGGGACGCCAACCCUCAGCCAUCUCGUUGAUGUCAGGAACCGGUUCGCAUGCUUCUGUGUUGCCAGGCCAAUGCAUCCCUGUUGUCCUCUUUGUCUUUGAGGAUGAUAUCAUUGAUGGUCCAAGUGUUGCAACAAGUGUGGAUGAUAUGGGGGAGACAUCUUCAUCAAAUCAGGCUUCUGGCACUUCAAAAGGUUCUGGCUCAGUGGUAAUGCUCGCCCGACCACCCAGCAAAUCUGAGGGUAGUUUCACUAAGAAGCUGCAUUUGUCUCUGGAAGGUCAGAUCCGGUUCUUGCUGAAGAGGUGCCGGACACUAACCGGUCUGGAGUCGUCAGGGCAUAAUGGUCCAAGGGGUGCUGGUAACGUGAGCCAUCUUCCUUUGUUCUCACUUGAUCCAUCCAGAGUUGUUGCCCUGUUGGACCGCUCAAUUAAUAAGAAACAGGAGCCACUGGAUAUCAUCGCAGGACUGUUUGAAGAUUCUUUCAGCUCCAAGUCAUCGUUGGAUGUCGCUUCAUUAGAAAAUAACUGCCAAUGUGCAAACCACGAAGAUGUUCAGUUGAUCAAGGAUUUUAUAUUUCGGCAGUCCGACGGACUGAGAGGGAAAGGCGGGUAUUCAGGCAAUGCGCCUGCUGGCUCUGUUGCUGGUGUUGGUAUGGUGGCUGCGGCAGCAGCUGCAGCAGCUGCGUCCGCAUCAUCUGGGAAGCCAGUUAGUGUUCCUGAUCUUCCUAGUUUUGAUAAAUGGUUCUCUGUUAGUACAUCUAUUCUUUCUGAACUGAUUAGUGCAAAAGAUGGGAUCGAUAAUUCCGAAAGUAUGAGGGGAUCAUCUACUCAUACAAGUUCUAGUUUGAAGAAUGAGCAAUCUAGUGCUAUUGAAACUGCUUUAUCUUGCUUGGAAAGCAACAAGGGGCUUAACAUGAAAUUUUCCUCAUCGUGGUGCCAAAAGGUGCUUCCAGUUGCUAAGGAGGUGUACUUGAAAGACUUGCCUGACUUUUACCCAACUAGCGUGCAUGAAAUGCAGCUACAGAAAGCAUUGCGAUCCUUUCACUCAACAGUCAAAGGACCGGCUGUCAAGGUAUUCUCCAAGAAGCUAGAAGAUGACUGCAAGACAAUCUGGGAAGCUGGAAGGCAGCAAUGCGAUGCUGUCAGCCUUACUGGCAGGCCAUGCAAGCACCAGCGUCAUGGUAAAUUAUCUUCAUCAGAUGCUGUCGAACAGCAUUCUAGUGGUUACGUCUUCCUCCAUGCAUGUGCCUGUGGACGGUCACGUCGCCUUAGAGAUGAUCCUUUUGACUUUGAGACAGCCAAUGUAUCAUUUAACUGCUUCUCCAAUUGUGAAGACCUACUACCCACCCUUGUGCUACCGAGGGGGGUUGAUGCUAGUUCAUUUCCGGCAUCCUCUUGGCGUUUGGUGCGCCUUGGAGGAGCAAGGUAUUACAAGCCAACGAAAGGGUUGCUCCAAGCUGGUUUUUGCUCAAAGGACAAGUAUCUUUUGAAGUGGACAAUAUCUCUUGGCAAAGGACAAGGAAAAAAUGGCACCCAUGCUGCCACUAAAUCUUCCUCCAUGACAUCUAAUGUGAACCCCCAGAUUCCACCUGCUGUUUCCAGAGAAGUAAAGCCCAUUACAAACCAAGUCGCACCAGAAAUUAGAUCUGCGAAGCUUGAAAAUCCCAGAAAACAACCUGAAGUGCAAUCAACGAACAACUCAGCUAUUAGUUUUGGUAAAGGUCAUCCAAAUUUUACUAUGAAAAAGCCUUUUGCUGAAGUUGUUGCUGGCAGCACAACUAAAGAUUCUGAGUUUCCUGCUCUCCAGCUGAAGAGACCACCAAAGCCUGCUAGCCGAAAAGAUGAACGGCAAGUGAGCGUAGCGGAACAGACUAAUGGCCGAACCAAUGCAGCUCUCAGUCAAGGACCUGUAGCUGAAAAUGAAUCUGAGAAGGUGAGCAAAAAUAUGAGUAGUGAAACUGCUGAUGGGAAGCCCUUUCUACAGAUCGGGAGCAACAUGGUGCCAGUUACUGUUGGAAAUGAGACUAAAGAAGCUGCUCAAACCGUACAACAGUUUGUAGUAUAUGUGGGAUUUGAGCAUGAGUGCUCGUACGGUCACCGUUUCUUACUGUCAGAGAAGUAUCUCAAGGAGAUUGAUUAUGAAAGAUCUUAUCAAAACAAUGAAGCAGAAAGUAAGCACAGUUCACAAAAGUUGCCCCCAAAUGCAUCUAAGUCGGCAGCAACUACUGGAAAUGGGAACAAUGGCCGGAAAUCCAAUAGGCCAAUGGAAUCAUCAGGGAGAAAUAGCAGGCAGCAAUUGCUUCAGCCCGGCGUUGACGGAGAGACCUUGCGGUCUGCUCAUAUUCUGUCAGAUGCACAUACUGUCAGAAAGGGAGAACAUUCUCUUCAAUACAUUACAGCUGAUGAUGGUGGAGAAGCAUAUUCACUUUUGAACAGAAAUCUGCCGAUAUAUAUGCACUGCCCACAUUGCAAGAGCUCAGACGGGAAGGGGCAUCAAGAUGUAAAGGCUGCUGGUGCUGUGUCACAACUUCAACGGAUUUUUAUCGUGACGCCUGAUUUCCCUGUCCUGUUGGCUAGCUGCCCACUCGUGCAGUUUGAGAGGUCAUGCCUGCCAUCAAAUGUAUCUGACAGUGAUCAACAAGGGUCGUUCAGCCUUGGAUGCCGAGUUCUCCUUCCACCCGAGAGCUUUCUUACCCUGCGGCUUCCAUUCGUGUACGGUGCCGAGACAAGGGACGGAAGCACAUCCCCCCUCAAACACCUCGAGCAGCAACCGGAGCUCACAGCAUGGCUUGUCGGAGGCACAGCUUUGCAGAUCGUGUCAGCAGGAUACGUCGCCGAGAAAGAAGCCAACGUGUCGUGA
rnacentral:rRNA from 1 species